rnacentral:lncRNA from 1 species
GUUGAUCGAUCCAAGGUCGUGCACAUAGGGUCUAAGACGGAAGAGAACUUCCUGCCCCUCUUGGAGCUUCUAUUUUAGAGGGAGACACGGCCAGACAGGUCUCGAACUCCUGGCCUCAAGUGAUCCGCACACCUUGGCCUCCCAAAAUGCUGGGAUUCCAGGCGUGAGCCACCGCGCCUGGCCUGUCCUAGGGAGAAUGAGCCUGAUGACUUUACCAUUUUCCACCUCUAAGAGCCAAUCGCAAAGGAGGCUGGCUGGCAUCUUGUGUCUGUCUAGCAUCUCUACCAGUUUCUGUAGAAAACCCUCAAGCUGUGCCAAGACGAUCAUGUCUGGACACAGCUCUUGGUGUCACGGGGUGUCUCCUCCUACUGCCUAUCGCCCUUUGCAGCCACCAGAAUAAUCAUGCAGGAGCCAGGGCCCCAUAUUAUCUACCGCUGUCCAUCUGCUCUCCAGCACAUCAGAGCAGCCCUUCCCCUGUGUGAGAUUCCUCUCCAGGGCAAGACUUGAAGGGAGCAUCAAGGUUGCAGUGGAAGAAAUAAAUUGGAAGUGGAGCUGG